rnacentral:ncRNA from 2 species
GGAACACGGUGUAAAUCCGUGGCGGUCCCGCCGCUGUAAUCGGAGAGGUUCUUCAUGAUGGCUAAUGGCCGGCCACUGCCGGGGUAAACCCCGGCGGGAAGGCGGUGAAGAGCUGACGACCCGAGAGCCAGAAGAC